rnacentral:rRNA from 1 species
CUAGACUCCUACGGGAGGCAGCAGUGAGGAAUAUUGGUCAAUGGCCGAGAGGCUGAACCAGCCAAGUCGCGUGAGGGAAGAAUGUCCUAUGGGUUGUAAACCUCUUUUGUCAGGGAGCAACGCCGGCUACGUGUAGCCGGACUGAGAGUACCUGAAGAAAAAGCAUCGGCUAACUCCGUGCCAGUAGCCGCGGUAAUACGGAGGAUGCGAGCGUUAUCCGGAUUUAUUGGGUUUAAAGGGUGCGUAGGCGGAAUGCCAAGUCAGCGGUAAAAUUUCGGGGCUCAACCCCGUCGUGCCGUUGAAACUGGCGUUCUUGAGUGGGCGAGAAGUAUGCGGAAUGCGUGGUGUAGCGGUGAAAUGCAUAGAUAUCACGCAGAACUCCGAUUGCGAAGGCAGCAUACCGGCGCCCAACUGACGCUGAAGCACGAAAGCGUGGGUAUCGAACAGGAUUAGAUACCCGAGUAA